AUAUCUGAGUACUUUUCACAUUGUGAAUUAAGUCAAAGGUUUCCAUGCAGUGGCUCAUUUUUCUUCUGCUAAUUAAAACGUGCAGUAGAUCUGAUCAAACUCGUAGCUCUCUCCUUCAUCACUCGUAUGACUAUCAUUACAAGCUCCAAUGUUUUGUCAGUGGUUAUAAUGCCACUGAUGGGACUCCAAAGCCCCCUGCAGUAACAGACGGGUGAUGUCACUCUGGCUUAGUCCAUUCAUUCUUACAGGCUGUGGUUGCACACCAGAGAAAAAUUAGAUACAUUGAAAACCAACAUUUUAAACAUCUAAUCCACAUUCUAUAUUUGACCUAGCCUCCAGUGACUCCGGUGACUCCAUCGGUCCACCCCAUGUUGAGCCUGGUGUAUCUUGGAUGAUGGUGUUCAGUCCAGCCAUCACGGUCCUCUCCACCUUCCUGUGCCUGACUUUUGUUUAUCUCUGCAGUCAGAAUGCAGAUGAAAAAGAUCAAAUGACUGAGAGAAGACCUGACAUGGGAGAGGAAAGUACAGUGAAUCAGGAUGAAGACGCAUGUUUCACCAGAGUUGUGUUCUUGUGUGUCGAUGGACGGAACAAAUAGAUUGGCUUUGUCUGAGCGGACAUCACACAAGCUCCACUUCAAACUUCUCACAAAGUCUUUAGAGUCCGAGUUUAAAGACCUGUUAUAUUUGUACACAGUGAUGAUGCGUUUUGUGGGCGGAGUCAAAAUGGUGUCAGAAAGUCAGCUAGUGGUGUUGAAUUAACUGUUUGUUUGUUUGUUUUCUGGCUUCUUGCCUUCACUUGAUAAGACGGUGUAUAGAGUAGUAAACAGGAAAGAGAGAGGGGGGAAUGACAUGUGGUAAUGGAACCACAGGCCGGACCUGAACCACCCGCCCAGAGGACCAGAGCUUCCAAACAUUCGGGCAACCCAACCAGCAGGUCAGCUGUGGUCAUGAAUUAACAAUUGGUUCUUCGGCAGAUGUUCAGCAGAAGCAGCUUUUGAGGACCCUUGUUUACUAUCACAAUGACGUUAACCAUCCUACUACGACGCUCGAUGGCCGAUUAGGAUCCAAUUUGUCAAUGUCUUCAGAGACAUAAACAUCAACAAAACAGAUAUUUUCAACAAGUAAACAAGUAUCAUUAUUAUAGCAAAGAUUACUUUGACACGACUAAAAGUGACAG